GAAGCGCAAGUGACGGUACCUGCAGAAGAAGCACCGGCUAACUACGUGCCAGCAGCCGCGGUAAUACGUAGGGUGCGAGCGUUGUCCGGAAUUAUUGGGCGUAAAGAGCUCGUAGGCGGUCUGUCGCGUCGGGUGUGAAAACCCGGGGCUUAACCCCGGGCCUGCAUCCGAUACGGGCAGACUAGAGUUCCGUAGGGGAGAAUGGAAUUCCUGGUGUAGCGGUGAAAUGCGCAGAUAUCAGGAGGAACACCGGUGGCGAAGGCGGUUCUCUGGGCCUAUCCUGACGCUGAGGAGCGAAAGCGUGGGGAGCGAACAGGAUUAGAUACCCUGGUAGUCCACCCCGUA
rnacentral:rRNA from 1 species